GGGUAGGCAGAGUAUGAAAUAAUGAAGUAGUAGUUCUCUUUGGUGUUGGGGAUUGAACCCAGGGGCUUAUGCAUGCAAGGCAAGCACCCUACCACUGAGCUAUGUCCCCAGCCCCCAGAGACUCUUCUUAACAUGAAGGAGAAAUGGAUCGCCACUUGUAAAGUGUUUUAGAAUAAUGCCUGGCACAUGUUAAAUACUAUAUAUGCUUUUGCUAUUCUUUGAAAAGAGAAAGAGCUCUGCAUACUAAGUUCCUGAUUUCGCGCAGUACUGAGGGAACUCUUAGGCCUUUGGGGGCUCACGUUACCUAACACUAGUGACUUUAUGUCUGGGCGUGUUUAUUUUUGCCGCGUCAACUUCAUUUAGUCGGUCCAAGUUGAGUCAGUGCUUAAUGGUCCACUUCACCGAGCUCCGGGGGCGCGGUGCCAGGAGCAGAAGGCCGCGGGGCUGGGCCUUCCAGCAACCGGGGAGGGUAUAAGUAAGCAGUGGCCCCUGAAGUAAAAUACGGAACCUGGAAAACGAACUUCAGGAGCAGCUCUGGACUCGCUGCCGACGGGCAGCAGGUGAGAGCACCCUGGGGACGCGCCCGGGCUCCUGGCCUCACCCCGGGGGCGGCUGGGUCAGCGGCGGGCGGUCUCCGCGUGGAGCCCGCGAGGGAAGGAGGGACUCCGCGCCGUGCACCUGGAAGGGCGCGAAGCCCAGGUCGUCCUCCAGCCGGGUCCCCGAGCCCGGGAGCGCGCCGCCGGCCGAGCUGGGGCCAGGGCUGCGGCAGGGGCCGGCCGGGCGGUGGCACCGGCCUCCGCUGGGGGGAGUGCGGCCCGCGCGGGCCCCGCGGGGUGGGUCGCGGGUUCCUCCCCGCGCCCGCGCCCCGCGGCCCCGCCCGCCGCCUGCUCCCGGGCGCCCCCUGGCCCCGCGGCGCACCGAGGUUUCCGGCGAGCGCGGUGGCGGGUGUGGAGACUCCCUCCUCCUCGCGGCCCCGGUCUGCCGUCUCCGCGGCUCCAGGUGGGCCUCGCCGCGACCCCCGAGCUGCGCCCGCGCUCUGCGCUGCCCGGCCGCGGCCUCCGGGAGGGCCGAGCCUCCGCGCGCCUCCCCAUUCCCUGCCGCAGGGACGGCGGCGGGCACCCCUCCUGGCCCGCCCGUUCCGCGCCUGGCCUCCCCGGCGCCGGCUGGGGCGCGCAGGGCCCCGGAUCACGCGGGCCGCCGGCAGCGCCCAGUCGGCCGUGUUUCCCAGGCCCUCCCGGGUGCGCCCGGGUCCCCGGGUGGCCGCGCCCAGGCGGUCCCGGGAGAGCCUGGCCGGGGUCGCCAACAGGGCGCAGUGUCUGCGCGGCGCCAGGGCGCUGGCUGCCGGGCCCGCCAGACUGGGGAGGGGGCUGGUGUGGUGGCAGACAGCUGGGGGACCCCGUCCCGGCUGCCAAGCCCUUUCUGAGCCCUGCUCAUACCCACCGCGGGACUUGGCGACACAGGUGGGGACCCGGCAAUUAGGAGUCCUUGCAUCUCAGUUGCAUCUGGCUCAGAGCUCUGUCACAGAGAGCUGCGUGUGUCGCCACUGUGGCUCCGUCCCCCCCAGGUUUCAUCUCUCGUCAUUUGUUAGAUUUUGCCGUUUUCCCUCUCUGCUUCUAGGCCUGUGGAAGUCCCAUCAAGGGACCGGGAGGUGGAGGAGGCCAGCCCUGCUGGCUGGAGAUAGGCAGCACAGCUCCCAGCGCUGCCCACUGCUGGACCCCCUGGACCAUCGUCGCUCCCCUGCCAGGCACAUGCAAGAGGACAGACCCCAGAAAGACUCUGCUUUCACACACCCGCAGCCGCCAUCCAGUUUAAGCCAGGGGUAGGUUUAGCAU
rnacentral:lncRNA from 1 species